UAAGGAAUAUUGGUCAAUGGACGCAAGUCUGAACCAGCCAUGCCGCGUGAAGGAUGAAGGUCCUCUGGAUUGUAAACUUCUUUUAUCUGGGACGAAAACGGGAUUUUUAUCUCAAUUGACGGUACCAGAGGAAUAAGCACCGGCUAACUCCGUGCCAGCAGCCGCGGUAAUACGGAGGGUGCGAGCGUUAUCCGGAUUUACUGGGUUUAAAGGGUGCGUAGGUGGGCUUAUAAGUCAGUGGUGAAAUCUCCGAGCUUAACUUGGAAACUGCCGUUGAUACUAUAGGUCUUGAAUUAUCUGGAGGUAAGCGGAAUAUGUCAUGUAGCGGUGAAAUGCUUAGAUAUGACAUAGAACACCAAUUGCGAAGGCAGCUUACUACAUAUAAAUUGACGCUGAGGCACGAAAGCGUGGGGAUCAAAUA
rnacentral:rRNA from 1 species